rnacentral:rRNA from 1 species
CUGGAUGAACGCUAGCUACAGGCUUAACACAUGCAAGUCGAGGGGCAGCAUGGUCUUAGCUUGCUAAGGCCGAUGGCGACCGGCGCACGGGUGAGUAACACGUAUCCAACCUGCCGUCUACUCUUGGACAGCCUUCUGAAAGGAAGAUUAAUACAAGAUGGCAUCAUGAGUCCGCAUGUUCACAUGAUUAAAGGUAUUCCGGUAGACGAUGGGGAUGCGUUCCAUUAGAUAGUAGGCGGGGUAACGGCCCACCUAGUCUUCGAUGGAUAGGGGUUCUGAGAGGAAGGUCCCCCACAUUGGAACUGAGACACGGUCCAAACUCCUACGGGAGGCAGCAGUGAGGAAUAUUGGUCAAUGGGCGAGAGCCUGAACCGGCCAAGUAGCGUGAAGGAUGACUGCCCUAUGGGUUGUAAACUUCUUUUAUAAAGGAAUAAAGUCGGGUAUGGAUACCCGUUUGCAUGUACUUUAUGAAUAAGGAUCGGCUAACUCCGUGCCAGCAGCCGCGGUAAUACGGAGGAUCCGAGCGUUAUCCGGAUUUAUUGGGUUUAAAGGGAGCGUAGAUGGAUGUUUAAGUCAGUUGUGAAAGUUUGCGGCUCAACCGUAAAAUUGCAGUUGAUACUGGAUAUCUUGAGUGCAGUUGAGGCAGGCGGAAUUCGUGGUGUAGCGGUGAAAUGCUUAGAUAUCACGAAGAACUCCGAUUGCGAAGGCAGCCUGCUAAGCUGCAACUGACAUUGAGGCUCGAAAGUGUGGGUAUCAAACAGGAUUAGAUACCCUGGUAGUCCACACGGUAAACGAUGAAUACUCGCUGUUUGCGAUAUACGGCAAGCGGCCAAGCGAAAGCGUUAAGUAUUCCACCUGGGGAGUACGCCGGCAACGGUGAAACUCAAAGGAAUUGACGGGGGCCCGCACAAGCGGAGGAACAUGUGGUUUAAUUCGAUGAUACGCGAGGAACCUUACCCGGGCUUAAAUUGCAGAUGAAUUACGGUGAAAGCCGUAAGCCGCAAGGCAUCUGUGAAGGUGCUGCAUGGUUGUCGUCAGCUCGUGCCGUGAGGUGUCGGCUUAAGUGCCAUAACGAGCGCAACCCUUGUUGUCAGUUACUAACAGGUUCUGCUGAGGACUCUGACAAGACUGCCAUCGUAAGAUGUGAGGAAGGUGGGGAUGACGUCAAAUCAGCACGGCCCUUACGUCCGGGACUACACACGUGUUACAAUGGGGGGUACAGAGGGCCGCUACCACGCGAGUGGAUGCCAAUCCCAAAAACCUCUCUCAGUUCGGACUGGAGUCUGCAACCCGACUCCACGAAGCUGGAUUCGCUAGUAAUCGCGCAUCAGCCACGGCGCGGUGAAUACGUUCCCGGGCCUUGUACACACCGCCCGUCAAGCCAUGGGAGCCGGGGGUACCUGAAGUGCGUAACCGCGAGGAGCGCCCUAGGGUAA